AUACGUAGGUGGCAAGCGUUGUCCGGAAUUAUUGGGCGUAAAGGGCGUGCAGGCGGUCUGUUAAGUCUGAUGUGAAAUCUUGCGGCUCAACCGUAAGAGGCCAUUGGAAACUGGUAGACUUGAGUACAGAAGAGGAGAGUGGAAUUCCACGUGUAGCGGUGAAAUGCGUAGAGAUGUGGAGGAACACCAGUGGCGAAGGCGACUCUCUGGUCUGUUACUGACGCUGAGGCGCGAAAGCGUGGGGAGCAAACAGGAUUAGAUACCCUGGUAGUCCACGCCGUAAACGAUGAGUGCUAGGUGUUAGAGGUUUCGAUACCUUUAGUGCCGUAGUCAACACAUUAAGCACUCCGCCUGGGGAGUACGGCCGCAAGGCUGAA
rnacentral:rRNA from 1 species